GCAAACUUGGUCAUUUAGAGGAAGUAAAAGUCGUAACAAGGUUUCCGUAGGUGAACCUGCGGAAGGAUCAUUACCAAGGUUUAAGAUCAAUCCCACUUUUGUGCACUUAUUGGAGUCAUGGAUCUUUUUUGGAUCCGUGGCUCCCAAACCUCUUUUUUCCCUCUUUUACUUUUUGUCUGAGUUUGAUAAAACAAACAAAAAAUUAUACAACUUUCAACAACGGAUCUCUUGGCUCUCGCAUCGAUGAAGAACGCAGC
rnacentral:misc_RNA from 1 species